AACGAACGCUGGCGGCAUGCCUAACACAUGCAAGUCGAACGAGACCUUCGGGUCUAGUGGCGCACGGGUGCGUAACGCGUGGGAACCUGCCCUUAGGUUCGGAAUAACUCCCCGAAAGGGGUGCUAAUACCGGAUAAUGUCUUAGGACCAAAGAUUUAUCGCCUUUGGAUGGGCCCGCGUUGGAUUAGCUAGUUGGUAGGGUAAAAGCCUACCAAGGCGACGAUCCAUAGCUGGUCUGAGAGGAUGAUCAGCCACACUGGGACUGAGACACGGCCCAGACUCCUACGGGAGGCAGCAGUGGGGAAUAUUGGACAAUGGGCGAAAGCCUGAUCCAGCAAUGCCGCGUGAGUGAUGAAGGCCUUAGGGUUGUAAAGCUCUUUUACCCGGGAUGAUAAUGACAGUACCGGGAGAAUAAGCUCCGGCUAACUCCGUG
rnacentral:rRNA from 1 species